CUAUAAAUCUUCAUCAGGAUAUAGUUUUUGUUCUGUCAUCCAAGCCAUCUCAUUAAGCUUCCCAUACAGGCUCUCUUUCUUUGAUAUCUAAACCAAAAAGAACGAGUUUUGUUCUCUGUUUCCAUUUCUCUUCUGAUUCAAGUCUCACCUAGCCUACACACUUGUGGUUUGCUAUCUUCUAUUACUUUUACUUUGAUUAGUGCUAUAGUGCGUACUUCUCAGUUCUCACAUUGAAAAACCCACAAAAAAAAGAUGCGCAUUCCGUUUGUUAUCUACUUUGUGUAUAAGCGGAGAAUUUGGAGUAAUUAUACCUUCAUUCAUAGGUCCUUACGGAAACAACUAAGACAUGGAGCUUCUCGUUGGAAUUGCUACAAAGAUUGGUGAGCACACAGUGGCACCAGUUAUACGCCAAGUGGGUUAUACAAUCCACUACAAAAAGAACCUCAAAAAGCUACAGAGUGAAGUAGAUAAAUUGGGUCAUGCCAGAGAAAGUAUGCGGCAUUCGAUUAAAACAGAGGAAAGAAAAGGUAGAAAGAUUGAAGCAGGGGUCCAGAAAUGGCUGACUGAAGUGAAUCAGCUAACUGAAAAUGCAGAUAGUAUCUUGACAGAUGAACAGCAUGCGGCGACCAAGUGUCUCCAGGGCUUUUGUCCUAAUAUAAAGCUUCGCCAUCAUCUAAGCAGGAAAUCAACAAAGUUGGCUCUAGAGGUUGCUGAAAAACUUGAGGAGAAAAUGAAUGAUUUUGCUACUAUUGCAUACGAUGCUUCCCCAGAAGAGGUGUGUACAAUAGCCAUCCAAGAUUAUGAAGCCUUUGAUUCAAGAACUUCAACUGUGAAUGAUGUAAUUGCAGAGCUGAGAAAGUCGAACACCUACAUGAUUGGAGUGUACGGUAUGGGGGGAGUUGGAAAGACAACACUAGUCAAAGAAGUAUACAAGCAAGUUACAAGAGGUGAGAAGCUGUUUGAUGACGUGGUUAUGGUACUCGAUCUGAAACAGAAUCCCAGCAUUGAACGGAUUCAAAAAGAAAUUGCAGAGAAGUUAGGUCUCGAGCUUUCGGAAGCUGGGACCCCAGCUGGAAGAGCAACUCAAAUAUGCAACAGGAUCAAGGACAAGAAGUCUCUUGUGAUCCUAGAUGAUGUUUGGGAAUAUAUUGAUUUGGAGGCUGUUGGUCUUCCUCGCAUGACGACUCUCACAAUUUUGUUGACUUCACGAAAUAAGCCAGUAUUAGCUUCAGAAAUGGGUACACAAAAAGAGUUUCCUCUCGAAGUAUUGAACAGAGAAGAAAGUUGGAGUUUAUUUAAGAAAAUGGCGGGUGAUAUUGUUGAAAAACCUGACAUCCAGACUAUAGCAGCUCGAGUCGCCGAGAAAUGUGGAGGUCUGCCGCUUUUGAUUGUCACUGUUGCAAGAGGUCUGAAAGAUAGUCAAUUACACAAUUGGAGAGAUACUUUCAGACGUCUGAAUAAGUUGGAUGGUAAAGGACUGAAAGAAAAAACAUACUCUGCAAUUGAGUGGAGUUACAAUAAAUUAGAGAGUGAGGAGCUUAAAUCUGUGUUCAUGCUCUGUGUAACUGAGGUUGGGAGAACCAAUUCUGCUUAUAUCCUCGACUUGUUUAAAUAUAGUAUGGGGCUCGAUUUCAUCAAAGAUGUUGAUACAAUGGCGGAAGCACGGGAUGCAUUCUAUUCUCUGCUUAAAAAGCUGCAACAUUCUUGCCUGUUGCAAGAUGGAGAUGAUGACCAAUGGAUCAGAGUCCAUGAUCUUGUAAAAGACGUUGGUAACCAUAUUGCUGCUAGAGAUCAUCAUGUGUUAUCAGUAUCUCAUGGAAGUGAACUAAAAGAAUGGCCAGAUAAGGAAUCCUGCGAAAAGUGCACUCGGAUGUCUCUCAAGAACUGCAAUAUUCCCGACUUUCCUGAAUUUUUACAAUGCCCAAUUCUAACAAUGUUUCAUAUACACAGUGAUAAUGUCGACUCCCGAGAAAUCCCAAGCAACUUUUUUGAUAAGAUGAAGAAACUCAAAGUGUUGGAUUUGACAAAUCGGAAUAUCCCAUCGCUACCUCCAUCUCUUAAAUCCCUCAAAGAUCUUCAGACAUUGUGCUUGGAUGCGUGCACGUUGGAAGACAUUGCUUUGGUUGGUCAGUUAACAAACUUGAAAGUCUUGAGCUUUUUAAAUUCCAAGUUUAAAGAAUUACCCAAAGAAAUAGGGCAGUUAACUCGUCUGCAAUUGUUGGAUUUGACUGAAUGCUCUCAGUUAGAAGUAAUUUCACCUGAUGUUUUAUCCAAACUGACUAAACUUGAAGAGUUAAGAAUGGGGAAAAAUAGCUUUAACAAAUGGGAGCAUGAAAGAGUCGCUGAUGUCAAACAAAGUAAUGCAAGCCUUGAAGAGCUGAAGUACCUAUAUCGGCUAACCGCAUUACAAAUACAUAUCCCAGAUGCUCACAUACUUCCGGCAGAUUUAUUCACCGCUAGUAAGUUGCAGAGAUUUCAAAUAUGUAUUGGUUCUGUGUGGAAAUGGGAUGACGUGGAUGAAGCUCUCAAUGCACUAAAGCUUCAUCUCACUACCAACAAUGAAUUCGACCAAGGUCUAAAAAUGUUGCUCAAAAGAACUCAAGACUUGCACGUGGAAGGAAUGGAGGGUGUUAAUGACAAGUUUUUCCGUGAACUAGUCGCAGGAGAUUUUCAUCAACUGAAACAUUUGCAUAUCCAAAACAGUGCUCAAUUUUUAUAUAAUAUUAUUGAGAAGGUGAGUUUUCCUAACUUGACAUGGUUGGCGGUGAGUGAGCUCAACGGUAUAAGAUUUUUGUUAUCAUCUUCAAUGGCCAGAGGUUUAUCACAACUCAAACGUCUUCAAAUAUCAGGAUGUCAGAUCAUGGAAGAGAUAAUUUCAAUAGAAGAAUCAAAUACUGAAAUUUUAGAGAAUAUAUUUUGUCAACUACAAGAUCUGGAGCUAAAAGGCCUUCCGAACCUCACUAAAUUCUUCUCAAGAAUUUGCAUUGAAAUGCCAAAACCAUCACAUGAGAAAUUGAAAUUAGAGGACUGUACUAAAAGUAGUACAACCAGCUGUGAAGAAAUUCAAGAAAUUGACUCCGGGAGAAUCCUAGACAGUGUGAUCCAACACUUUCUUUUUGACAUUAAGGUAGAGUUUCCAAACCUUAAGAAGUUGUCUAUUCAUGGCCUAGCAAAGUUGACGACAAUUUGGAACAAUAACCUCUCUCUAGCGAGUUCAAAGAAUCUAGAGACAGUAGAAAUUGUUUCAUGUGACAAUUUAAAAAGUAUAUUUCCAGCUUUAGUGGCCAAAAGUCUUGAACGGUUGAGGACCCUAAUAGUGAAAAAAUGUGGCGUGGAGGAAAUCAUCUCGAAAGAGGACGAGACACAAACACCCCCUAUGUUUGUUUUCCCAAAACUGACAUAUGUGAGAUUUGAAAAGUUGCCCCGACUUAUGAGCUUAUAUCCAGGUUUCCAUUCUUCUAAGUGGCCGUCACUCGUAGCAUUGGCGGUGUAUGAUUGUAAUGAUGAGGUGCAGAUAUUUGCAAAUCCGAAUAAAAAAUCUUUGUUUUCAUUUGAGAAGGAGUCAUUCCCCAACUUGCAGACUUUAGGUUUCCGCAUAAUGAAGAAUUGGGAUAGUCCGCCACUCCACUUAUUCAGGAAGCUCGAAACCCUUUACGUUUAUGCAGACACCAACCCAUCUUUAAAUUCCCUGGAGGAAGUACUUGGCCUUGAAAAAGUCAACGGAGAAAUUCAUGCAGUUGGGGAUGGGAUCUUCCCAUUCUUAAGAGAGUUGCACCUUUAUGGGAUGCGGAGGCUAACGAAUCUCGGAGAUGAUAGCCUCGGUCCAGCUGGCCCAUAUUUUCCAAAAGUGGAAAUUCUGGAGCUAAAUGACUGUGACAGUUUAAAGAACUUAAGGUCAUCCGCAAUGCCCUUCAGGAAUUUGACUACUUUGCAAGUAACUCGUUGUAAGGGAUUGAAAUACUUGAUAUCUUUCUCCAUGGCCAAAAGUCUGAUGCAUCUCACAAAAUUCGAAGUUGGUGAGUGUGAAGAAUUGAUAGAAAUAGUUGCGAGCUGUGGAAGUGAUGAUUCAGCAAAUGAGAGUGAAUUCAGGGUGUUGAGACAUUUGGAGCUAUCUGGUCUACCAAGUCUGAGAGGCUUUUGCUCAGGGUCUCAAAGUGUCAAAUUCCCAUCCUUGGAAACUUUGUCGAUGAGUGGUUGUACUCAACUAGAGGGAUUCCUUUUUUACCCUACGGAUGAAAUUACUACAAUUGGCCAAAAUAGCAGAGACACCAGCUCAAAUGAAAACACUGGAGUUGUACAGCCAUUCCUUUUCGACGACAAGGUUGAAUUUCCAAAAUUGAAGAGUUUGUCUCUCAAGGGUCUACCAACGUUGAGCACAAUAUGGCACAAUCUACCAUCAACUCAACUGCAAUCUUUCCAUUGUGAAAAUCUAGAAUAUGUGAAGAUUGAUUAUUGUGAGAAUUUGAUAACCAUUUUUCCAACGUUGGUGGCAAGAAAUCUCCAGCUGUUAAAACGUCUCAUGGUGAUGAAAUCUGGAGUGAAGGAUAUUGUCACAAGAGAGGAGGGGUUACAAACAAUACCUAAGUUUGUGUUUCCAAAAGUGAAAUGUGUGAAGUUUCAUCAGUUGCCACAACUCACAAAUUUCUACCCAGGGAUGCAUGUGUCUAGCUGGCCGUCGCUACUUCAUUUGACAGUCAUUGAAUGUUUUAAGGUUCACAAAUUAGCGGAGGAAAUGUCAAUCUGUCACGGAUAUGAUGAGCAAGAACAUCUGUGUAAUUCUAUCCCACGAUCUCUCUUUCUCAUUCACAAGGAUUCAUUUCCCAACUUGGAAAGGUUGGUCUUCGAGGGCUCGGAGAUUUGGGAAGGUCAGCUUCCGGUGCAUCUCUUUAGCAAACUAAAGCAUCUUGAAGCGGCUGCUCUACAGUCCAAGUCAGCAGUUUUCCUUGAAAGCAAUAGUAGUAGUAGUGGUGUUGUUGGUACUGGGACCCACUGGCAACAGCAACAGUGGCAGCUCCCACAUUUAACAGAACUGAGGCUUACCCGAAUGGAGAAGCUGAUGCAUCUGGGCCAGGAGGAUGAGGAGGACAGCUCACAAUCAGCCCCAAAUAUUCCAAACCUGCAAUUUAUACGCGUGAAUGGUUGUCACAGCUUGAGGAAUCUGAUAUCAUCCGCAAUAUGCUUUAACAAUCUAACCACUUUGCAUGCAAGUUGUUGCAAGAGACUGGAAUACUUGAUAACUUACUCAAUGGCCAACAGUUUAAUGCAACUCACAACGCUGGAAGUCGGGGGGUGCCCAAGACUGGUGGUAAUAGUGGGAAGCAUUAAUGAAGACGAUGAUUCGAGAAAUGAGAUUACAUUCAGGCGGUUGAAACAUUUGAAACUUUACCGUCUACCAAGACUGCAAAGCUUUUGCUCCGGAAAUUGCAUUGCUAAAUUCCCGUCGUUGGAAACCUCAACCAUGAACAACCGCCUCAAAUUGAAGAUUUCUGCACCUCGUGAUCAAACACUAUAGCUAACAACCGAAGAGGAAGACACAGAUGUCGAUGCUUGCGAAUAUUAUACUCCCCCUUCAAGACUCUACUGCUCCAGCUUGCUUCAAUUUCUCAUCUUUUCUGCUCCACCAGUGUUCGUCCGUGGCCUAAUGUUAAGCCCAGCAAGUGUUCGAGAAAAUGCUUGUCUGGGAACAGUGAUUCAAAUUGGAGCUCUCAAUCGUGUGCAACCUUUCCUAAAUUUAAUUAAUACUAGUAACUCAAUUCAUACCGGUGCUUUGUUCGAAUUCAGUGCUCUCUACUCUCUAGCUACAUUUGUGGAUUAUAUGUUUGAGUAAUUUUACUUGUAUCGACCGACCUCAUCUAUAAUUUUGCGUACGCUUGUUUCUUCUUGCUCAUCAACUAUUUGUUAAAAUCCAUUUUUUACAGCACAUCAAACUUGAAUCCUAGAAUAGUUGCGACUUGCGACAACAUAAGGAAUUUGAGAUCAUCCUAAUGGCCUGGGCUAUGAGCACUAAGCGUUCGAGAAAAUGUUUCUUUGGGGAUUUUGGUGCAUUUCAAUUCUUAUGCUUCUAUUGAUUUACAUGUGUGCAAGCGUAACUUUCUUUCUAAUUAGCAUUUUAUCGAUUGAGGAAAAUAAGAACAUGACCAGAAACCAAACAGAGUGAUUCACAUUGAGCUCUCCACUCUGGUGUCGCAACUUUUGGUCAGUUUGGGGUUUAAUACGUAUUGACUUAUUGUAAUUGCUGCUUCAGAUAUUUUCAUUUGUUUUGCAGUUCCUUUAUUUGCUACUUGACUAUGAUCAAAGUUUCUACUUUCUAGGAGUAUGGAAUAGGAAUAAAUGUGGAUGCAGUGUUCGAUUCUAUAAAUGUGUUAUAAACUUAUGGCUUGUGUUAUGCGCACCAUGUGUUUCAGAAAAUGCUUGUGCAAUUAAUGUUUGUGUGGUGAUUUACUUCACUUCAAUUUCUUUGCGUCUAGUAGUUGUAUGAUUUGCUGAUUUGCAUGCUUGUGCUCAUCGGCUAAUUCAAUCCAGAGCUUUUUUUUUUGGUCAAUAAUCCAGAGCUUUCUUUUUGUGUUUUUCUCUCUUUUUCCCAUCUCUGUUAGUUUAAUUGUACAAUUGUAGAGUUCGUCAAUAUUAGUAAACGUCAAGGAUGCCUGUCAAUUUGGUUCAGAGUAUCGUCCACAAGUUUAUGCUAACGCUUUGUCUUAUUUUCGUAGCAAUGUUUUGGUUAUCGGGCGUUAUCUUGUAACCUUCUUAUUUUGCUCUUAUGUCUGUCCAAUUGCUCUGCUUCACUCCAUAUUAUUUUACAAACUGUACUCCAAUUCAUUCAUAAUUCCUGUAAUUCAUCUACAAUGUGCAGUUUCGUCCGAACGAAACUGAGAAUCUUCAAAGUUUGAUAAUGGCAUCUUUAAUUUGCUGAAUGCAGAAGGCGAAUAAACCCGAAAGCUAUUGAUCUCUGUGGUGGAUUCCUUCAAAUUUUCGUGAAAAUACGAUAGCGAGUUGCCUAAUGAUUAAACAUAAGAGUGGUGAUUGUUAACCAUAGAGUAUGGGUAGAUUUGUCAUUUCAUUUAUAUUGUUCUAUUUUCCCUAUAUAAUUUGUGAUGUACUCUAUUCCAAAAGAGAGUGAAAUACAAGAUGUAGUCCUCAA